rnacentral:rRNA from 1 species
AACGAACGCUGGCGGCAUGCCUAACACAUGCAAGUCGAACGAGACCUUCGGGUCUAGUGGCGCACGGGUGCGUAACGCGUGGGAAUCUGCCCUUCGGUUCGGAACAACAGUUAGAAAUGACUGCUAAUACCGGAUAAUGACGUAAGUCCAAAGAUUUAUCGCCGAAGGAUGAGCCCGCGUAAGAUUAGGUAGUUGGUGGGAUAAUGGCCUACCAAGCCGACGAUCUUUAGCUGGUCUGAGAGGAUGAUCAGCCACACUGGGACUGAGACACGGCCCAGACUCCUACGGGAGGCAGCAGUGGGGAAUAUUGGACAAUGGGCGAAAGCCUGAUCCAGCAAUGCCGCGUGAGUGAUGAAGGCCUUAGGGUUGUAAAGCUCUUUUACCAGGGAUGAUAAUGACAGUACCUGGAGAAUAAGCUCCGGCUAACUCCGUGCCAGCAGCCGCGGUAA